AGGUAAUAGAUACCCGGGUAGUCCCAGCAGUAAACGGUGCGCGUUUGGUGUGGAGAAUUCAACUCUCUCUGUGCCGGAGCUAAACGCGUUAAACGCGCCGCCUGGGGAGUACGGUCGCAAGACUAAAACUCAAAGAAAUUGACGGGGGCCCGCACAAGCGGUGGAGUAUGUGGCUUAAUUCGAUGCAACGCGAAAAACCUUACCUGGAUUUGACAUGUAUCGCUAAGGUGGUGAAAGCCAUCGAGGGUAGCAAUACCCACUUUACACAGGUGCUGCAUGGCUGUCGUCAGCUCGUGUCGUGAGAUGUUGGGUUAAGUCCCGCAACGAGCGCAACCCUUGUAUGCUGUUGCCAGAUGAUGAAUCUGGCUCUCUGCGUAGACUGCCCCGUGAAACGGGGAGGAAGGUGAGGAUGACGUCAAGUCAGCAUGGCCCUUACAUCCAGGGCUGCACACGUACUACAAUGCUCAGCACAAUUAGAACCGACACCGCGAGGUUUAGGAAAUCGCAAAAGCUGAGCCCA
rnacentral:rRNA from 1 species